GAGGGCAUAGCUCAAGUGGCAGAGCACAUGCUUAGCAUGCAUGAGGUCCUGGGUUCCAUCCCCAGUACCUCCU
rnacentral:tRNA from 1 species